GACGAACGCUGGCGGCGUGCUUAACACAUGCAAGUCGAACGGAAAGGCCCUGCUUGCAGGGUCCUCGAGUGGCGAACGGGUGAGUAACACGUGGGUGAUCUGCCCUGCACUUCGGGAUAAGCCUGGGCAACUGGGUCUAAUACCGGAUAGGAGCCAUUUUUAGUGUGAUGGUUGGAAAGUUUUUUCGGUGUAGGAUGAGCUCGCGGCCUAUCAGCUUGUUGGUGGGGUAAUGGCCUACCAAGGCGGCGACGGGUAGCCGGCCUGAGAGGGUGGACGGCCACAUUGGGACUGAGAUACGGCCCAGACUCCUACGGGAGGCAGCAGGGGGGAAUAUUGCACAAUGGGCGCAAGCCUGAUGCAGCGACGCCGCGUGGGGGAUGACGGCCUUCGGGUUGUAAACUCCUUUCGCUAGGGACGAAGCUUUUUGUGACGGUACCUAGAUAAGAAGUACCGGCUAACUACGUG
rnacentral:rRNA from 1 species